GACGAACGCUGGCGGCGUGCUUAACACAUGCAAGUCGAACGAGUGGGAACGGGUGAGUAACACGUGGGUAACCUCCCAUCAGAGGGGAUAAAACUUGGAAACAGGGGCUAAAACGAUACUGAUGGAUGGACACGCGGGGCAUUAGCUCGUUGGUGAGGUAACGGCUCACCAAGGCCACGAUGCAUAGCCGACCUGAAGGGGUGCUAGGACACACUGGGACGUAGACACGGCGCAUGAUCCGACGGGAGGCAGCAGUAGGGAAUCUUCGGAAAGGGACGAAAGUCUGACCGAGCAACGCCGCGGGAGGUAAGAAGUUUUUCGGAUCGUAAAACUCUGUUGUUAGAGAAGCGGUAUCUAACAAGAAAGCCACGGCUAAGUACGUGCCAGCAGCCGCGGUAAUUC
rnacentral:rRNA from 1 species